rnacentral:tRNA from 1 species
GUUACUUUAACAAAAUAAAAUGUAAUAAAUUUAGAAUUUAUAAAUGUAAAAUAAUUACAAGUAAUA